rnacentral:tRNA from 1 species
UCGCGGGUGGUGGUAAUUGGUAGCCACAAGGCUUAGCUAUCCUCGUGCGGGUUCGACUCCCGCCCCGCGAUC